AUGAGGGAACACAGGAAGGCACUGCAGCCCGCAAGUCCGAACACACAGGUUAGCACCAUCUGGCUGACCUAACUCACAGGUACGGAAGAUUCGGUUUGACAUAGGUGAUCACAGAGAUGUCAGUUAUCACUAAAUCUCAAGAUAAGAAGCAAGACUUAUUGCUGCCACUAAAAGUGCUGCUUUCGGAUGAAAAGAAGGGAAGAAAGCCAACGGACCUAAAACAAAUGCAUAGAGAUCAUCUCCCGUGAAGAAUGUGUGAAGGGAAAUAUUUUUAAUUAA